GAUGAACGUUGGCGGUGUGCCUAAUACAUGCAAGUCGAACGGAGAUCAUAAAGUAGUAAUACCUUGUGAUUCUUAGUGGCGAACGGGUGAGUAACGCGUUGGUGACCUGCCCCGAAGUGUGGAAUAACAAUUCGAAAGAAUUGCUAAUACCGCAUGCGAUUUUAGAGACUAGAUGCUCUUUAAUUAAAGGAUUUAUUCGCUUCGGGAGGGGCCUGCGUCCCAUCAGCUAGUUGGUAAGGUAAUGGCUUACCAAGGCUAUGACGGGUAGGGGACCUGAGAGGGUGGCCCCCCACAAUGGAACUGAAACACGGUCCAUACACCUACGGGUGGCAGCAGUAGGGAAUAUUAGUAAUGGGCGAAAGCCUGAACUAGCAACACCGCGUGUGCGAAGAAGGCCUU
rnacentral:rRNA from 1 species